GAGGUCAGAAGCAGCAUCUCCAGCAGGGUUAACAACUGCGCGUGCUCCUGUACAAUUUCCGCCCGGCCACUAUCAAUCGAUCAGAGAGUGGAAGAUGGCGGUGGAUCUCUAGUCUGCGGAGCAAGAUCGAUCACCGAAAAAACUCGAUUGAGUUUAAUCUUAUAUCGCCGAAAAACACUCCAAAACAAAGACUAUUUGGGAAUUUGGAGACUGGAUACCAGCGGCUUUGCAAAGCUUGUUGAACAGAAGUUUGUCAUCAUCGAAGAUUGGACUUCCCAUGGCAUAGUGGGAAAGUCCUGGAGCAGCUAAACCAGCAGCGCCAGAUGGGCCCUGCUGUGUGACUGCACCUUCGUGGUGGAUGGAGUGAUUUCAAGGCCCACAAAGCGGUUCUGGCGGCCUGUAGUUCCUACUUCCGCACCCUGUUCAUCGACCAGAACGACGUGGUGCAUCUGGACAUCAGCAAUGCUGCAGGUUUGGGCCAGGUUCUGGAAUUCAUGUACACAGCUAAGCUCAGCCUCAGCUGUCAGAACAUGGAGGACGUGUUGGCUGUGGCCAACUUUCCUCCAGAUGCAGGAAGUGGUCAACGCUUGUUCCGCCUACCAGUCGGUCACAGCUCCCGUACCUUCGCUCAUAGCAGAUUUCUCUGCAGAAAAAGAAGAAGAGGCCAGAGAGAAGCCGGAACAGGACCCUGGAGAGGUGCUUCCCAAAGCAGAGGAGACACAGACCCAGAGUGCUGAUUUGGCAGAAAAAGCGCAGGAGACAGCAGCAGGCGAACCCACUGAACACACAGCCCCGCCAGUGGCGUCUCCCAGCCCCGGCAGAACCCACCCAGGGAGGGGGCGACCGCCUAAAAGCUCCCCACUCAAAGUGCUGGCUGCCCAGACAAAGGCCCCUGUGGGCUCCGAGGGGGAGAGAGCGUUGUGA
rnacentral:lncRNA from 1 species